rnacentral:lncRNA from 1 species
UGUAGAGCAUCGAAGCAAAUCAUGAUAAUGUUCUCAGGGGUACUAAACUCCAAGAAAGAGCUAGGUAGAAUGCUAAAAGAUGAGAUGAACUAUUACUUUCCACCCGUUCCUCCCCUAUGACAAGAAACACAAGCCGCACGGAAAAAUAAUCCGAACUCCACCAUAGUUCCGUUGUAGACAACGCAUGUUGUAGGUUCAUUCCCGAUGCCCCGCAAUCCAAUGUCAUUCUUUGUUGUUGUUCAUCAACCCUUUGUUUAGUUUUUCGAAACUUGGUUUUUUUUUCUGUAAUGGAGUAUUAUGUAUUCCGUAGGUGAAGAAGAUGAGUUAGUGUGUAGCUUUUUUUUUUCGAGAAUAUGCCUUGGCCGGGCAUAUCAUCUAUAAAAGAAGGAGAACUGCAGAGCACUUAGACCCGAAGGCUAGCGUUUACAACAAAAUUAGCCAGUG